ACUCAAAGGAAUAGACGGGGGCCCGCACAAGCAGUGGAGCAUGUGGAUUAAUUCGACGCAACCCGAAGAACCUUACCAGGUCUUGACAUCUGGAUAACCCUGUAGAGAUACGGGGGUGCCCUUUGGGAAAUCUGAGACAGGUGGUGCAUGGUUGUCGUCAGCUCGUGUCGUGAGAUGUUGGGUUAAGUCCCGCAACGAGCGCAACCCUUGAUGUUGGUUGCCAGCAGGUAAAGCUGGGCACUCCAGCGUGACUGCCGUAGGUUAAUACGGAGGAAGGUGGGGAUGACGUCAAAUCAUCAUGCCCUAUAUGACCUGGGCUUCACACGUGCUACAAUGGGGCGAACAACGGGAAGCGAGUGGGCGACCAUGAGCGGACCCCUAAAAACGCCUCUCAGUUCGGAUUGCAGGCUGCAACUCGCCUGCAUGAAGUCGGAAUUGCUAGUAAUCGCGGAUCAGCAAGCCGCGGUGAAUACGUUCCCGGGCCUUGUACACACCGCCCGU
rnacentral:rRNA from 1 species